rnacentral:pre_miRNA from 1 species
UGAUGUCUACUGUUCUACGCCGCUACAUCUAGUUGCAUUGUGACGUCUGUUUCAGGGAAAUGCAGCAUGAUGUAGUGGUGUAGCUCAGUAAGACCAUUCCA